GAAGUACUUCCUCCGUCCGGAAAUACUUGUCAUCAAGACGAAUAAAAGAGGAUGUAUCUAGAUGUACUUUAGUUCUAGAUAUACCCUUUUUUAUCUAUUUUGAUGACAAGUAUUUCCGAACGGAGGAAGUAAUAG
rfam:Triticum aestivum genome assembly, contig: Triticum_aestivum_CS42_TGACv1_scaffold_404300_5BL